GACGAACGCUGGCGGCGUGCCUAAUACAUGCAAGUAGAACGCUGAAGGAGGAGCUUGCUCUUCUGGAUGAGUUGCGAACGGGUGAGUAACGCGUAGGUAACCUGCCUGGUAGCGGGGGAUAACUAUUGGAAACGAUAGCUAAUACCGCAUAACAGUAGAUGUUGCAUGACAUUUGCUUAAAAGGUGCAAUUGCACCACUACCAGAUGGACCUGCGUUGUAUUAGCUAGUUGGUGGGGUAACGGCUCACCAAGGCGACGAUACAUAGCCGACCUGAGAGGGUGAUCGGCCACACUGGGACUGAGACACGGCCCAGACUCCUACGGGAGGCAGCAGUAGGGAAUCUUCGGCAAUGGACGGAAGUCUGACCGAGCAACGCAGCGUGAGUGAAGAAGGUUUUCGGAUCGUAAAGCUCUGUUGUAAGAGAAGAACGAGUGUGAGAGUGGAAAGUUCACACUGUGACGGUAUCUUACCAGAAAGGGACGGCUAACUACGUG
rnacentral:rRNA from 1 species